UUUGCAGGUGCAAACCCUGCUCAUGCUACCGAGUCUUGUGAACAUCUCGUUAGGACAUUCUUAUUCGCGCGGUCAGUCAUGUUAAUGAAGCGAUAAAGUUUAUCCGGUGUUCCUUAUUUUCAACACGUGUGUGAACCAUGCGUACGUUUCUGCAGUCCAUGAU
rnacentral:lncRNA from 1 species